GACGAGGUGCACGAGCGGUUAAGGUGAUAAACUGCUAAUCCAUUGUGCAUUGCACGCGUGGGUUCGAAUCCCAUCCUCGUCG
rnacentral:tRNA from 1 species